UUCCCGUGCUCUUCUCUGAUUAUUAGGGUUCCAUUACUCUGAUUUCAAAGAACUUAUGAAGUCUCAAUUCAGUAAUCUCUCCGAGAUUAAGGUUUUAAUGAUUUACUAAUUUCAGAGAUCUCAAAUACCAAAUCAAGCCCUUAUCUCAAAUCCGAGAACUGACCUAGAAGCGACGUUCUCCACCAUAUUCGUUCUAAGUAAACUCGUUCCACCAUGAUAUGAUCUCAGUUGUUGCAUUGUAUUACUCGACCUAUAACCAUCUUUUUCGAUCUAUAAAUAUUUUCUUGCUUCCUUCUCACUGUGAAGCAUUUUCUUCUUUAAUCUUUUACUGUAAAUUCUCAUUGCUUUUGUUGUUUUUGCUGUGAAUGUGGAUAUUAAUAGGUUAUAAGUGAAGAGCUAAUUCGGUUGAAGGAUUAGGUAUAGAUAAGCAUUGGAUGAUCUCUGUCUUUUUUUACAUAGGUUUUGUUUGAGAUUCGGUUUACAAAUGUUGGUGUAAUAAUCAGUUGCAGAAAGGGGUUUGGUUGAUUGUUGUUGUUGAGAUUUUGCUUGAAGAAAUAAAGAUGAAACUUGGGUAUUAUUCAGAUUUGAUAGUAUGGGUUUUGAAUGAAUAAUAGAGAUUGUUCUUGGACCCGAGAUGGAAAUGACUGUGGUGGUUAUGGUGAAUUUGAGUUUUAGAUUCAGAGAAGAUGGAGGUUCAAAUUAAAAUAUGUGUGUAUCUUUUGUGGGGUAUUAAGGUGAAAGAAUAGUUGAUUCAGGAGUUUAGUGGUGAAUACGUCAUGAGAGUGAAUGAGUUUGAUGUUGGUGAUGGAAGAAGAAGAGAAUGAUCUGGUGGCUGAUUAAACUGGGUUUUCAGGGUAGAAUGGAUUAAUGUUGGUGGUUUUGAUGUUUGAUAUUUCAGGUUCAAGAGAUGGUUUGAUUGAGAAGAGUUGAGACAAUUCUGUGCCUGUGGUUGAGAGUAUAAAUAAGAACGAAAGAGGAUGAUGUUGAUGGGAUUAAAAUGCUAGUUUAUGACUUGAGGGGUUGAAUAUUUAUUGUAGCGGCUUUUGUGGAAUGAAGACAAAGAAGAUUAAGGAGAAGAACAGAGCAAACAAUGGAGGGAGUCAGCCAGAGUUAGUCCAUAUUAUGCACUAGAGUUGCUUGGUAAGUGUUUGUUGAAAUGCUUCACCUCACCUAUAAACCAAAUGUAGGCAUAAUUUUUUGUAUGUAGGAUAUUAGAGGAAUCAUUGGUGAUUUGUUUUGAGCUCAACUGGAAAUUUGGUGAAUUGCGAAAGAAGUGAAAUUUAUCUCUGUGUAGAGUUGUAUGUUUUCUUAGUUAAGAUGUGAUUUCCAGGUAAUGGGUGGCUAUUCAACUUGAGUCUCAAUCCUUGGGUAAGUGCUUUGAUUUGUUCAGUUCCUGUGUCCAUUAACAGUAAGAACUGUGAGGAUAUUUCUUUAGAAGAUGCUUAUGAACUGGGAUAAUAACAACUGUUGGGAUAUUUCUACAUGCUUGCCCAAGACAGUAAUAUCAUGUGGAUUGUGCAAGUAUAUGGGAGGCUAGUGUACCAUUGAAGACGGCCUGUUUAGCAUGGAAAAUACUCCAUGACAAAGUCUCAACUGAUGACGCGAUGCAGGAUUCAGGGAGGGUAACGACCUUUUGCAGAUAUCUUAGCUAAUCAUGGAGAUGGAGCUAUUAGUUCACUGCGGAUCCCCCACCUCCGAUGAUACAUACUGCAACUAGGGAAGGGGGUGGGAAGAAAGCCAAGGUACCAUCGUUGUCACUUUCGUUGGCAUUUCAUGGUCGAAAAUGACACUUGCACUUUUUUGAAACAACUUGGUAUGUGUCCUUCCCUUUGUACAGUUUUUAAUAGUGUUUCAUAUUCCAAAGUUGUUGUUUUAUGUGAAGGGGGUGAGAAGAAAGCCAAGGUACUAUCGUUGUUCUUAUAUAUGGGUUUGAUUAUUAUGCCUAUGCAUUUGAUGUACGUUCUUAGCUUAACAUAAACCAUGGCUUGCUUAUGCUGAAUUGCUGAUGCUUGUAGUUUUGGACUGAAUGGUACUUAUACUAGUAUAGAUUUAUUGGCUACAUACAUUUUAAGACUGACUUCUCUUGACUUGCUACAUGUUAGGCUUAUAUAACCAGCGCAUUCAGAGGAGUGUUGUCAAGGAUCUUGCAGACCUUUGAUUAAUCAAACUUCAGCAGAUGCAUCAAAAGAUGCAGGAGGACAUGGUGAUUGUUUUCUAUCUUCAAAUGUUUCAUCAAAAUAGACGCAGAGAUUUACAUACAAUGAUUGUUGGGGAAGUUGCUAACUUUGUGACUUAUGCACUUGGCCCAAUAAUUCUGGUCACUGCUCUUGGUGCACUCAGCAUUAUUAUCAGGCACGAAACAAGUUCAUUCCCCAAGUUGUGUGUACUCUUUUUUUCUCUUCCGUUUUUGGGCUAAGUGUCAUUUUCUCUUGCAGCGCUGCACUUGCAAAACAUAGAACUUGAAGUCUCUAUUCUCUAAUGGAAAAGAAGUCCUUUUAUUUAUAGUUUUAUUUUUUUGUUCAGCAAUUCUUAUCUUUUUAAAAUUGUUGUAAAGUUCAUUACCUAGGUAGUUUUGGUUGUAAAACAGGGGUAACUGGAUUUUGUUGGAUUAAUUUGAUUUCCAAAUGAAUAGGGGUAGCUUGAUUUUGUUAC